AGGGGUGGAGCAUGGAUGCAGCUCUCCUAAGAACUGACUACCAGGAGGGAAGGAUCUCUUUUAGAGAUUGCUCCUCUUGGAGUUUUCUCAGUGAGCCCAGGACAAAGAUGCCCUUCUGCUGCUUUUUGCUGUUGGAGAUGAGGGUGGCAGUGGCCUUCACACCAAGCAUGGAAGGUCCAAUCUGUAUUCAUGAGCUGGUGAGCAGCCUGUGAGGAUGUCACUUUAUGAAACCAACUGCUUCCCCAUCAGCACAGUUCCAUGCAAUUCAUAGCCCAGAACAAACACAUCCAAGGUAUCUGGACCUGUAUCUACUGAAUGCUUUGUCUUUGAGGGGCUGGAAGCUGUUCGUGCAGCCUCCUUUGUUUGUGUGCUCGUAGGAAUAGAGGUCAGCUCUUCUGCCCUGGAUUGUAUGGCAAUAAAGUUCACGUUACAGCUAAAUUCCAGAUACACAGAAACUAUUGUCUCCAGGAGACACUGUCCAUCCCAUCUCCUUGAAAGCCAAAAGACUACAUCUGGAAGUAUUUCAUCUUCAGAAGAGUCUGCCUCCCACAAGAAUACGUCUAUUUGGAGCUAUGAAAAGGUAGUUAUUUGUUAGUGUUUCCUAGCAAUGGCGUAAGUAUCUAAAGGAAGAGCGCUGAAGAAUUGUGUUCCACAAAGAGGUAUCAAGAGGGUAUCUCACCGCUCUCCUCUAGUGGAGGAAAUGCAGUGUAAAACUGCAAAGCGUUGCCAGUACUGAGCUGUAAUCAAGCUCUCACCAUCCGUGUGAUUCAAGGUGUCUCCUGGUGCUCACACUUCCUGGGAAUGGCUCAGGCUGCUCUACAAGCUAGAACAGCUCGCAGACUUGUGAUGCCCAAGGGCUGGCAAUGGCCUGGCAGUGGCUCAUCAGGAGGGGAGGAAAACAUCACCGCGUUCAUGUUCCUUUUGUUCAGAUGCUGCACCAGCAGAGUGGCUUCUGCUGUGCAUGAUCUCCACGGUGUGUGAUCUUUACAUGGAAAUGAUGCUCCUUGUGCUGCUCAUGGGUCCUUUCCAAGUCCUGUGAAGCACAAAGGCUGAAGGUGGCUGCUGCAGCACACAGGAGUGUAGGAAACCUGAUUUUCUCCGAGCCAAUGCAGAUAGGCUUGUCCUUCUGCCUGGAUUCCCUUGCAGCAUCACUUGCUUGAAACCUUUAAUGUUUUGCCCUCCGUCGAUUGCCAGGCAGCUACCCAUGUGCAGCUGUUGCAUUUGUCACAGGCACGGGCCCUGUGUAUCCUCUUGGCUUGGAGGAGGCAGGGAGCACAGUGGGGGCUGAGCACAGAGCCAGCUCCUGGCCACUACCUCCUGCAGGGCCUGGGGUGUCCCAUAUGGCUGAGAGCUGUUCUCCAUCACCACGAGCACUGCGCUCACCUGGCUCACAGGCAGUAGUCCCAAAGCUGGCACGCUGUUGUUGGCAAGGCUCCACCAUCUCACACUUGCUGCAUUUUUUUUCCCUUGGCACAUAUACGUAUCUGUAAUAUGGCAUAUGUUUCUUUUUUUCAUUUGAUAACAAGAGACAUCAGAAGUAGUAUAUUGAUUUAUUGCCUACAGAAUAUGGCUGCAAGAUCCCACUGAAUCUACUAAGUCCAUAGCUCCAGCCCCUUCAUGAAUUGCAAAUGGAGAAGGCUGGGGAUUCUCAGCGUCCCCCAUCUCCAGCCACAGAGUUAAUGCAAUAAUUUGUGUCACAUCUGGAAGGCAGCACCACCUCUGCCAGAGCCUGUACCCACAGAAAAAAAAAAAAAAGAAAAAAAAAAGUGAGGAAAGGCAAAGAAAACUUAGGGCUGAAAGAGAAGUGAAAUGGGGGGAGAUGGAAAGACUGCAGCCUGGCAGACAGAGCAGUGGGUUCUGACUGCAUCUUACAGAAGAGGUUUGGACCUCUGUUUCUUCAGCCAGGAUCAGCUGGGCUCCAUGGGCUUUGUACUGCUUAGUGGUGCUGGAAGCCGGAGUUCUUUGCAGUGCCCUCAGCCCGGAUUGCAGCUCAUCUCUGCAGCACAGCUCUGACCUGUCCCUGCCAGCUCAGCCCACAGCAGUGCUCCCUCCGGUUGGGACCUCACAGUGUUUCAGCAGCAGUUGAGGAAUUCUGCUUUCAUACUCUGCUCUCAGCUCCUUUAUUGCUUUAACAGACUUUAAGUAAUCAGCCUGAAAUUUUCUCCAAAACAUUCCAGCUGCUCAAAAAAAAAAAAGGGGGAAUAGAGGGUAAAAUUUCUUCAUAUUCCUCAUUUGAAAAGUAAGGCAACGGUGUGCUUUGCUGUGAAAAGUCCAGAUUUCAAAUCCUGAUGUGAGCUUCAAUUUGUGUUGGGGUGCAGCUGCACUGCAUGUGAAAGCACUUAGCAAGGGGGGAAUCCUUCUUUUGGGGGUGACUUCCAACUGGAAAUGCUUGGCAAUGGUGGAACAGCUGCCAUCGCUUCUUCAGGAAGCUGAGCACAUCGGUUGUGAGCUGGUGAAUUCAAUAUCAUAGAUCUUAUUAAAAACACAGUCAGUGGAUGGAGCUGACCAGAAAUUGUUGCCUGCAGGAGCAGGCUGACAGCAGCAGGCAGAGCCCAACUGCUUAAGGGGACCCAGCCCGGCUGCUGGGCAGCGACUCGUAUUAUUUUGCUUUUGGAUUACGGGACUCUUUAAUUAAAGGUCUUGACUUUAUAAUCCAAUCAAUCUAGAUAAAUAACAACUCUCUUUUGCAGAUAAAGUUGUCGGCUUAUCGCUGCCCAACAGCCAUAUUUUAAAGACGAGCCGUAAAAUUACCCAGCAAAUCAGCUUACAUCACAUCUGGUGGCCGCAGCUGCGUGCAGGCAGAGCUCUGUGUGCUGACAGCCACAUUUCAGUGCCACCCUGGGCACGUGUCCUACUCCACCACCAACUCACUGCUUCCUCAGCACUGUUACGCUCUGCUACUCGUCCCAUUCAUCCCACAAACCCUCAGAGUUGUUGUAAUUGUAAUGGGGAGGUUACAGUGCCGGAGGAUGAAAUGUAAUGCAAUUAGUAGAGUAUUUUACCCAUUUUUCACCUUUUCCUGCCAAAUAGCUUUGUUCUAAUGAAGGGUAUCAAACAAGCAUUUCAUUGUGAUUUAAUUGAGCGGUUCCUUGUGACACGCAGACAUCAAUGAACAGUUAUGGGAAUGCUUUUUAGGGAUCAGUGGAGAAGGCAGCAUGCUGGAUUAGCAUACAAAUCUGCAAGGGAUGGAUUGUGCCAGUCUCGCCUCAAAUACCUGCUUGUCUGUAAGAGCAUUGGUAUGCCCUGCAUCCCUCAGCCUGUAUAAAAUACAGCAGCACAGGUGAUAACACAGCCUUUCCUUCAGCUUUCUGAGACCCACAGUUACACAGGAGCAAUAAGGACAGGAGCCACAUUGCUGAAACACUGAAGCUAUUUGCCCACUGUAAUGCAGAGAGCUUGGGACUGACCCCAGCCCUCAUUUUCACUCUUGCUUAUGAGCAGCCCUUUUGCCACACCUUGGGAAAUUGCAUCUCAGUACAGUUUCGUGAUGGCGUUGGCAGAGAUGGAAGCAGGGGUGAGUCGGGCAGCCACUAGGGCUGAGGAUGAAGCUCUGCAGGGUAUUGGCAGAGCUGAGACAAAAUGCCUGUACAGACCCAUGUGGGCUAAACUUGCCCCUGGAUAGCACUGCUGUCUCAUUUCCUGGAAUGUAUUACCUAGGCUUAGCUGACAAAAAUAAACAGAGGGGAAAAAAAGACUAUUCUGUAAUGCAAUCACACUUCAAUUGCCCAUUUGUUUUUGUCCUUUAAAAGAGCUAAUAACAAGGUAAUUGGUGGAGAUAUCUCCUGGGCUCCAUCAGUGAAAGCAAGAGGGAGAUUUUCCCAACAUGAAAUAGAAGAGAGGCACAUUUUUCUAGAGAAGAAAGCAAGGUAUUACCCAAAUUAAAGGAAUCCAUAUCGAUUUCUACCUCAUGUCCAAGCAAGUGAAACCUUGUUCCUUUGAGCGUUGGCUUUUAAUCGCUCUGAAGCUGCCUGACAAAACAUCCCUGGUAUUUGCUUCUUGGCAAGGAGGGCUGUGAGCCCACAGCAAUGCAGCAAGGGCCAAACCUGCGUGGAAAUACUUUCCCCACUGUGGUUCUGCUCCCACCUUUUCUGGCUCUGCCCUGUGCCUCUCCCAGCUGAGGGACUCCAAAGGAACUGCAGAUGCAAGGGCAGCAUCCAGAGAGUGGUGGUGAGGUGCCACAUUCCAGCAAGUGCCCUCAGAGGGCUUUUUUUUCUUUUACAUACACAUGUUUUUCAUAGUUUGAGAAAAGCAGCAGUGCCACAGGCCACCCCCUAGGUGCCUGAGCCAUCCUCCUGCUUAUUGCCAUGUAGUACCUGUGCCAGGAAGACCCUGGGGCACAAAGGAAGCAUAAACUUUCAGUCCUCCGUUACCUUGCACGUUAAUUAAUAUUAUUAAGAUCCUGCUCCAUGCUGCUUUUAUCCUUUGCAAAGUACUUAGGAUUUCUUUAAGAUCCAGGAGCUGUAUAGGAGCAAAUUAUCAUUUUAUUGAAGUGAUUGGCUUUAUCCCAAAGCAGGUUCUUA